UCUCCAAACUGAAGGAGCGAGAUGGAGAAAUCUUUCAAAGCAUCAGAGUGUCGUGAUGAAGAGAAAGAUGAUGUAGCGACCAAAGAGCCUGAUUAUAAGUAUAACUCACAAUCAUCGAAUCAAUGAUCUACCAAAAGUCCAGUUUAGAGCCUGGAGCACUGCUCUGGCUUGUUCUUCAACUUGAAGUAUUUUGAGGAUCUGCUUCAUUGGCGGAAACCUUGAUGAAGCUGAUAAUUACCUCAGUGGUUUCACCUCCGUUGAUGACAACCCUUUCUCAACUCUUCUCUUUUUUUGAGAUUAGAUCGAUGCUGAAAUCUGAUCAGCUUCAUAUAGACGUGUUGCCAGAGGUGACAGAUUUUAUUGCCAUAGUCGGGAACGGUGUAGGUGGAUGCACAAGAUCUGAAAAACCCGAAAUUCACUGCGGCAGUGUGGUACACAAUCUUGUCUUUUCCGAUCCAACUAAAUAUAUAGUUGAGACAAAAAAAAAAAGGGGCAAAUAUAUGACCACCUAUUUUAUAGUCAAAAUUAUACUCUGAAUGUUAUCCAUUAGAUUAGAUAUCCAUUAGUGGCUGAGAUUAAAGACAAUUUAUUAGCUCUUCUUAAAUAAAUGAAAUAUAUAAUACCAAAUCAGAAAAUCAUGCAUUAAUAUUUUUAGUUGUCUCUGUUUCAUUCUUUAUAUUCUUCCUAAUUAAAAAUCAUUCAUAGCUAUCCCAUUUUGGAAUAUAAAAUCAUUCCCUUGUUUAUCUUCUUUUGUUCAUUAUCACAUAUUGUUAAUGAUGAAGUUCUUCACCUUAUGAUUAUCUUCUUUUGUUCAUUAUCACAUAUUGCAAAUGGUGUAGCUAAUAGAUUAGCUCAUCUUUCUAGUUCAAAUCUUCUUAAUGAUGUAUGGUUAGAGGAGGCUCAUGUUAUUAUUCAGGAUGUCCUCUAUGAGGAUUUCUGUAAUUGCACUCGAGGUCAAGGCCCUAUGUCCCCCUCGAUGCAUAAUUUUAAUUCAAUAAGUCAGGCGUGGGGAUGAGCCUCUCAGCUUGGAUGGGUUCCAAACCCCUUUCAAAAAAAAGAA